rnacentral:tRNA from 1 species
CCCGGUCCCUGGCAUCCGAUGCGCCCGCGUUCGUCAUACCGCCAUUGUCCCCCGCACCGCCGGGCCUCCUUCGG